rnacentral:rRNA from 1 species
AUGGCGGCGGUCUGGAUGGCGUUGGCGGUGAUGCUGGUCGCUGCUGCUCAGGUGGCGGUGGCUGCCCCGGUGAUGGCGCCGGCCUUCCUCUGGGCGCCCAAGAACUACGGACUUAGUCCCAAUGAGGCUAAAGAAGUAGUCCACUAUCAGACAAUCUCCCCAAAGAGUUUAGCUGAUUCUGUUCUCGAGGAAGGUGGCUGGUCAAACUUGGUGUGUUCAAAGGAUGGUCCUCAAAAGAAUGUUGAUGUUGCAGUUCUUUUUCUUGGAUCAAAGCUACAAUCAUCAGACAUCUCUAAAGAUAAACAGGUCGAUCCUGCUUUAGCGGACAUACUAAAGCUGUCCUUCUCAAGCUCCGAGUUUUCCAUGGCAUUCCCUUAUGUUGCCAUGUCAGACGACGAAGCACUAGAGAACUCAUUGCUAUCUGGAUUUACUGAGAAUUGUGAGGAUGGUUCUGGAGGAAAUCAUAUCACUUACACAGACACGUGUACUGCAAGCAGUGAAAGUGUGAAGAAACAUCUGAACAUGGAUUCUGUUCAAGACUUGGUGAAGUCACGGAUGGGAAACAACCAACCAACUGAGCUAAUCGUCUUCUGUAGCGGUGGUUUCAAGGACAAUGCAAAAUCAGAAGGGCAGUUGCUUUUGGAUCUGGUUUCUGUUCUUGACAAGUCUGGGGCUAAAUACACAGUUCUUUACGCAUCUCAACCCUAUGGUUUGCUGGAGAAUCCUUCGGACCUGCCAUUAGCCAGGUAUCUUGCAGAGAAGACCAAUACAACUAAACCUGUCCUAGAGAAAUGCGAUGGAGAAUGUCAAUUAAAAUCAACUCUCCUGGAAGGAGUUUUUGUGGGUGUGGUGCUGCUUAUCAUCUUGAUAUCAGGACUUUGCUGCAUGAUGGGGAUCGAUACCCCGUCAAGGUUUGAGGCUCCCCAGGAUUAA